CAGUGCUCAUCACAACACGUGCCCUCCUUAAGACCCAUCACCUGUUUACCCUACUGAAAUGAAUGUAAAUAAAGACAUGAGAGAUCCAGAAGAAUAUUUUCUUUCUAAAAGUGAGCCACAGGGUCGCGUCUAAACGCAGAAGAACCAGAAUACUCUACUCUUACCAUUCACCUGGAAGAAGGAAAGCCAUAAUUUUGGUGAACAUCUCUAAUGGCUACCAUUGUAGAAAUAAAGAAGAAAAGAAAACAGAACAGACAUGCCCCCUCCACAAACUGUCAAAAACACAGUGUCUCACCGUCAACAUGACUCAAAUCCCCAAUCAAGGAUAAAAUAUCUGUCAUCUAUACAAUAAAAUCUUAACACAUUAA